GACGAACGCUGGCGGCGUGCCUAAUACAUGCCAGUCGAACGCUGAAGAGAGGAGCUUGCUCUUCUUGGAUGAGUUGCGAACGGGUGAGUAACGCGUAGGUAACCUGCCUUGUAGCGGGGGAUAACUAUUGGAAACGAUAGCUAAUACCGCAUAACAAUGGAUGACACAUGUCAUUUAUUUGAAAGGGGCAAUUGCUCCACUACAAGAUGGACCUGCGUUGUAUUAGCUAGUAGGUGAGGUAAUGGCUCACCUAGGCGACGAUACAUAGCCGACCUGAGAGGGUGAUCGGCCACACUGGGACUGAGACACGGCCCAGACUCCUACGGGAGGCAGCAGUAGGGAAUCUUCGGCAAUGGGGGCAACCCUGACCGAGCAACGCCGCGUGAGUGAAGAAGGUUUUCGGAUCGUAAAGCUCUGUUGUAAGUCAAGAACGGGUGUGAGAGUGGAAAGUUCACACUGUGACGGUAGCUUACCAGAAAGGGACGGCUAACUACGU
rnacentral:rRNA from 1 species